rnacentral:rRNA from 1 species
GACGAACGCUGGCGGCGUGCUUAACACAUGCAAGUCGAACGGAAAGGCCCUGCUUUUGUGGGGUGCUCGAGUGGCGAACGGGUGAGUAACACGUGAGUAACCUGCCCGUGACUUUGGGAUAACUUCAGGAAACUGGGGCUAAUACCGGAUAGGAGCUCCUGCUGCAUGGUGGGGGUUGGAAAGGUUCGGCGGUUGGGGAUGGACUCGCGGCUUCUCAGCUUGUUGGUGGGGUUGUGGCUUCCCAAGGCCUUGACGGGGAGCCGGCCUGAGAGGGGGACCGGCCACAGUGUGCCUGGGAUGCGGCCCAGACUCCUACGGCGGGCAGCGGUGGGAAACAGUGCACGAUGGGCGGCAGCCUGAUGGAGCAACGCCGCGUGCGGGAGGACUGCCGUCGGGGAGGAACCCGCGUGCGAGUGGGACGAAGCGUGAGUGACGGUAAUGGGUAAGGAAGCACCGGCUAACUACGUG